UGAUGGCUGUUCCUCUCACUGUGUGGAGCCUUAAGCAGUGGGAUUUUGGUCCAUCACAUAUCAAAGCUAGCUGGCUUGUCUUUACUCAGGGGAUGGGUUGGCUGUCCAUUAGUGCCUUCUGAUUUUUGCAAAGUCAAACAAUU